UGCCAGCCGCCGCGGUAAUACGAAGGGUGCUAGCGUUGUUCGGAAUUACUGGGCGUAAAGAGCAUGUAGGCGGAUGAAUUAGUCAGAGGUGAAAGCCCCGAGCUCAACUUGGGAACUGCCUUUGAUACUGUUUAUCUAGAGUCCGAGAGAGGGUAGUGGAAUUCCUAGUGUAGAGGUGAAAUUCGUAGAUAUUAGGAAGAACACCAGUGGCGAAGGCGACUACCUGGCACGGCAUUGACGCUGAGGUGCGAAAGCGUGGGGAGCGAACGGGAUUAGAUA
rnacentral:rRNA from 1 species